rnacentral:lncRNA from 1 species
UUCCUCAAAUUCGUCCAUCCCUUGUGCUUCAUGUGCAUGAACUCCAUUUUAGCCCAAUUUUCCUCCAAAAUGCUCCAAAUUGCAUUCUUUUGCUCACUUUGUCUCUAAAACCUGAAAACACAUGAAAAUAGCUUAAAAGACUAACUUAACUAAGAAAACACAACAUAAAUGCAUAAGAACUAACUAACUAAGGCGCAUAAAUAUGCUCCUAUCACUUUGUCCAUGGAAUUUGAUGGGGAAGUUGUUAAUUUCAAUCUUUCUGAUUCUAUUAAGUAUCCUAGUGAGGAUCAUUCAUGUUUCUCUUUGGCGUAGGGAUACCUUGAAGAUUUGAAUAACGAUGCACUUGAAAAGGUCAUUACAAGAGGCAUGGAACUCAAAACCAAGGGGGCAGAACCUAUGCUAACCCACGGCAUACAUGAACCACUCCAUGCCGUGCCUCCUAGUGAGGAAUUCAUUGAGUUGGUUGCUGCCCUUGAGUCAUUACCUAAGCAUGGUGGUAAGUCUCAUAACUUCGAUUCAAUUCCCAUUUCGACUAACAAGUUGCUUCCAUCCAUAAUUCAGGCACCCAUCCUUGAUCUCAAGCCCUUACCAAGCCAUUCGAAGUACAUUUUCUUAGGGGAAAACGAGACCUUACCUGCCAUUAUUUCCUCAUCCCUCACGGCACAAGAAGAAGAGAAACUAGUGCGUGUUUUGAAGGAGUUCGAAUCUGCCCUAGGUUGGACCUUGGCCGAUAUCAAGGGUAUAAGCCCUACAACGUGUAUGCAUCACAUAUUUCUUGAGGAGGGGGCCAAACCAACUAGAGAGGCUCAACGCCGUCUCAACCCUCCGAUGAUGGAAGUUGUGAAAAAGGAAAUAAUCAAGCUCCUUGAUUGUGGAGUGAUUUAUCCCAUCUCCGAUAGUCGUUGGGUUUAACCUAUCCAAUGUGUGGCCAAGAAAUUUGGAGUGACAGUUGUAGAAAAUGUAGAGAAUGAGCUUGUGCCCACCCGAAUUCAAACUGGUUGGCGAGUGUGCAUUGAUUAUAGGAAGCUCAACGCCACCACAAGGAAGGAUCACUUCCCAUUGCCGUUCCUAGAUCAAAUGCUUGAGAGGUUAGCAGGUCAUUCCUUCUAUUGUUUUCUUGAUGGUUAUUCUGGUUAUAAUCAAAUUGUCAUUGCCCCAGAUGAUCAAGAAAAGACACUUUUACUUGUCCCUUUGGAACGUUUGCAUAUCGACGCAUGCCAUUCGGCUUGUGCAAUGCUCCUGCCACGUUUCAAAGGUGUAUGGUUAGCAUAUUUUCUGACUAUGUUGAAAGGAUUAUUGAGAUAUUCAUGGAUGAUUUUAGUGUGUUUGGUAAUUCAUUUGAUAAUUGCUUGGAUAAUCUCACUUUAAUCUUGAAACGUUGUGUUGAAACAAACCUUGUUCUAAAUUGGGAGAAAUGCCAUUUUAUGGUUAAACAAGGUAUUGUUUUGGGUCAUAUAAUCUCUGAAAAAGGAAUUAAGGUUGAUAAGUCUAAAAUAGAUCUUGUACGCUACUUACCCUCUCCUACUUCGGUGAGAGAGGUUCAUUCUUUUCUUGGUCAUGCAGGAUUCUAUCGACGAUUUAUCAAGGACUUUUCCAAGAUUGCACAGCCCCUAUGCCGUCUCCUACAAAAGGAAGUGUCUUUUGAGUUCAACGAGGCGUGUGAGCAAGCAUUUAACCAUCUCAAGGACUUACUCACCACGGCACCAAUCCUCACUCCACUAGAUUGGUCCAUUCCCUUUGAGCUAAUGUGUGAUGCAUCAGUUUAGGCACUUGGAGCUGUUUUGGGUCAAAGGAAAAAUAAGCUGCCACAUGUUAUUUAUUAUGUUUCUUGUACCUUAAAUGAUGCACAAUUAAAUUAUUCCACAACCGAGAAAGAGCUCUUGGCUGUUGUCUUUGCAUUAGAUAAGUUUAGAUCAUAUUUAAUUGGCACUAAAGUCAUUGUUUUCACUGACCAUGCAGCCUUGAAGUACUUGUUCACAAAGAAAGAAGCUAAACCUAGACUCAUUCGUUGGAUGCUUCUACUUCAAGAGUUUGAUAUCGAAAUUAAGGACAAAAAGGGGAGUGACAAUGUAGUUGUCGACCAUCCAAGCAGGUUGGUGCGUGAAGAGGAGGUUCUUCCCAUCUCUGAAACGUUUCCGGAUGAACAACUCUUGUCCAUUAAGGUAAGUGAGCCUUGGUACGCAGAUUUGGUGAAUUAUUUGGUGACUAAACAAGUUCCUAGCACCCUAAACAAAUUCCAACGUGAUAAACUUAAGAAGGAUGCUAGAUUUUAUGUUUGGGAUGACUCAUACUUGUGGAAAUAUUGCUCAGAUCAGAUUAUAAGAAGAUGUGUGCAUGAAUCAGAUUUUCACUCAAUUUUAAGUUUUGUCACACAUAUGCAUGUGGGGGUCAUUUUGGCACCCAAAGGACAACUUUUAAGGUUCUUGAAUGUGGUUUUUAUUGGCCUACUUUGUUUAAAGAUGCUAGAACCUUUUGUUUAACGUGUGAUCGCUGCCAAAGGACAGGUAAUAUAGGCCAAAAAGAUCAAAUGUCGUAGGUACCCAUCUUUGUUGUUGAAAUUUUUGAUGUUUGGGGUAUUGAUUUUAUGGGUCCUUUUCCUUCAUCUUUUGGUUUCAAUUACAUAUUACUUGCAGUUGAUUAUGUUUAAAAGUGGGUGGAAGCGAAAGCCCCUCGAACUAACGAUUCUAAAGUUGUGGCAGAUUUUGUGAAAACUAAUAUCUUUUCUAGAUUUGGGAUGCCUAGGGUGCUAAUAAGUGAUGGGGGAUCUCAUUUUUGCAAUCGUACCAUUGAGGCAUUACUCAAGAAGUAUCAUGUGACACAUAAGGUUUCCACACCUUAUCACCCCCUAACCAAUGGCCAAGCCGAGGUGUCUAAUCGAGAGAUCAAACAGAUUUUGGAGAAGACCGUUGGGCCAAAUAGAAAAGAUUGGAGCUUACGGUUGGAUGGUGCACUAUGGGCGUAUCGAACGGCUUACAAAACCCCCCAUUGGUAUGUCUCCUUUUCAGCUUGUGUAUGGCAAACCAUGCCAUCUCCCCGUGGAAUUAGAACAGAGAGCUCAUUGGGCUAUCAAGACCUUCAAUUUGAAUGUGGACCAAGCUGGAAUUCAUCGAAAGCUUCAAUUGAGUGAACUUGAUGAGAUAAGGCAUGAAGCUUAUGAGAAUGCUAGAAUUUACAAAGAGAAGACCACGACAUUCCUUAGUUGGGGUGUAAUUCGAAACCAUGUACAUGCUUGCAAUAUGAUUUGAUUACAUUCAGUUGUUAUUUCAUAAGUUGUGGAUUUAAUUCGUUCAUCUAUUUGAUUGAUAAUUUAUUUGUGUAUGUUGAUUGAGAGUGCACGCUUAGUUUUCAUGCAUGAAUAUGAUGCUAGAUUAUGAGGGAGUUUCACCUAAUAGUUACAAUCUUAUAAUCACAAGUAGUGAAGGUCGCUUGAAAACGAUCGCGUUGAAUGAAUUCUUAGCAUAAGUUUCAUGCAAUUCAUAGUAACAAAUGCUUCGUCAAUGCUUAUGUUUUUCAUAGAACGUAAUGAUUCGUGCUUGUAUCUCUAUUAUGCAAUUCAUGUAGGGAACUUGUAGGGAAUGUUUUGGGUUGUCGUAUGCAAUCAUCCAACCUAAUAACUUGUGGAAAAACUGAGGGUUAAUUAGUGCAAUUCACGGUUAAUUUGGGGCGUUGAGUAUUCAUAAUUUAUUGGAAGAACAACUGAUAAUCGUUUUGUUUGCAAGUGUGACAUGUGUGGAGAAGAACCUCCUAACUAGCCUUUUAUCCAUCCUUUUCAUCCAAAAACGUUUGACAAUCUGUUUAGUUUUAAGUUUCUGUUUUGUUUUCAAUUUUCGUCCAAAACAAAUCCCCCUUUAUUUUGAAGUCUUAGAUUAGUUAGAAAGUGUUUUGAUUUGUGUUUCUAAGUGUUUUGAUUCAAGUUUUCACUCAAAUUCGUCCAAGUUCUUGUUAGGUUCUCAAAACUGCCCAGAAAGUGGUUUUUAGGCAGUUUUGAGUCAUUAGGUUGCUGUUUGAGUUUUAGGUUUGUUUAAGUGUUUUAACCUUUAGUUUUGCAUUCUUUGAGUCUAGUUUAGUGGUUUAAACUUUGUUUUUGAGUUUUUAAGUCAGUUUCCAAGUGUUUAGCAAUCCCUCCUAAUCCCCGGUCUAGAACGAUCCCUACUUACAUCUCUACUACAAUUUGACAAAAGAGGGUUUAAUUUGUGUGCUUAUAUAUUUCGCAUCAAAUUUUUGGCGCUGUUGCCGGGGAUUAGCAAUUUUGCUAAUCCCUUGGAUUGUUUUUGUUUCUUUUAUUUCACCUUGUUUCUGACUUUGUUUAAGUUUUUGACCUAAUUUUGUUUCUUGUUUCUUAGGUACUAAUGUAUGACUAGAAGCUCUCAACCGAUUCGUGCAAACAUCUUGGAUUUUGACGACGAUUUUGAGAGGAAGUUGAGAAGAGUUAGAAACCAGCAAGAACAUCAUCCACCCAAUUCCGAAUCUGACCUUGAAGAAAACGUACAAGAAGAGGAGGAAGAAGCCACGGCAGGGAUAUUUGAAGAAGUCCAAGGCAUGGCCAUGGACAAUCGUACACUCAAGGAGCUUUCCGCCUCAAGUUUGGAUAAUGCCGCACCCUUGUGCAUUCAAUACCCCAUGGCUGCCCAAGGUAAGACGGACGAGUUUGAAUUAAAGUCAAGUUUGCUUCAUCAUAUUCCUAAAUACCAUGGCUUGUCCAUGGAAGAUCCUAACAAACAUUUGAAAGAAUUUGAAGUAGUUUGCUCUAGUAUGACUCCCGUCAAUGUUGACGGAAAUAUCUUGAAGAUGAAGGCUUUUCCAUUCUCUUUGAUGGAUAAAGCCAAGGAUUGGUUAUACGAGUUAGCUCCCGGCACUGUCACUUCUUGGGAGAGUAUGAAGAGAGCGUACUUGGAGAAGUUCUUUCCAACUUCUUGCAUCAUCCUCCGACGCAAAAAGAUAAGCGGAAUUCAGCAAGAAGAAGGUGAGUCUUUUCCUACAUAUUAUGAACGAUUUAAAUCACUUGUUGCUUCUUGUCCACAGCAUCAGAUGAAGGAGGAGUUGCUCUUGCAAUAUUUCUACGAGGGCCUACUACCUCUAGAACGUCAAAUGCUUGAUGCUUCGGCGGGGGGAGCAUUGGUGGAUAAAACACCCAUGGCUGCCAAGGUCUUGAUUGCUAAUAGAGCGUUGAACGCUCAACAGUACGAGGGAGUAGGCCAAAGAGGACCCUCACGGCACCAAGUACAUGAGGUAAGUGCGACUUCCGAUCUUCAUUCACAAUUGGCUAAUCUUACUUCUAUUGUUUCACAGAUGGCCGAGGGAAUGAAGAUGCAAGGACCUGUGGUAUGUGGCGUAUGUUCUAUCCAAGGACAUGUCUCCGAAAAAUGUCCUCAACUCAUCGAGAAUGGCGGAUGGGAGAGUGCGAAUGCCAUUGGGUUUCAAAGCCAAAAUCAGUCAAGACAUGAUCCAUACUCCAACACGUAUAUCCGGGGUGGCGAGACCACCCAAAUUUCAAGUGGAGGGAUCCCCAACAACCUCAAAACCAAGGAGGCUUUAGGCAACAACCCCGGGGGUUCUUUCCCAAAACCUACGGCCCACCCCAAAAUCAAGCCCAAUCCGGCCCAAGUGCCUCAGGUACGUCUCUUGACAAUGAUGCACUUCUUAAGAUACUAACUAAGUUGUCUAAUGGGCAGGAAGAUCAAGCUAAGGCUAUGCAAAACCAAGAUAAAAGGGUGGAUCAACUUGAGAAACAAAUUGGGCAGAUUGCCGAGUUUGUAGGUAAGUUUUGAGAUCCCGGACAACUUCCUAGUUCCACCAUUCCAAAUCCGAAGGGAGGUUUCGAAAGUGCAAAAGCAAUCACCCUAAGAAGUGGUAAGGAAGUUGGGGCAGGUCCUACAUCAAAAACAGGUCAUAAUGAGGAUGAAAUUUUGCAAAUGGAAGAGGAGGAAUCAAGGUUGCCCACGGCAAAGGUGGUUCCACCUUUGCCUCAAGUCCCUAAGGCCCCAAAUCUGCCCAAUUUGUCCCACAAAGGUAAGAAUGUGUCAAAUUCGGUUCAUACUAAUGUUUUCCCUUCAAUUGUGCCUUUUCCUAGUAGGUUCAUGCAAACGAAGAAAGAAGAGGCAGAAAAGGAUAUCCUUGAAACCUUUCGGAAAGUUCAAGUUAACAUACCUUUGUUAGAUGCAAUCAAGCAAGUUCCAAGGUAUGCUAAGUUCUUGAAAGAGUUGUGUACCACUAGGAAGAGGAUGUCGACUAAGGAAGUGGUAAAGGUAGGUGAGAAUGUGUCCGCCAUCUUGCAACGCAAACUACCUCCCAAAUGCAAAGAUGCAGGUAGCUUUACCAUUCCUUGUGUCAUUGGGAACACUAGAUUUGAAUCUGCCAUGCUUGAUUUAGGUGCUUCUAUAAAUGUUAUGCCAUAUUCCAUUUAUGCAUCUAUGAACCUAGGAGCGUUGAAAAAUGAUGGGGUAAUAAUACAAUUGGCCGAUAGAUCUAACGCCUAUCCAAAGGGAGUUUUGGAAGAUGUUCUUGUGCAGGUUAAUCAUUUAGUUUUCCCGGCGGAUUUCUAUGUCCUUGAAAUGGAUGAAUCGGACCAUGCUCCUUCGCUGCCCAUUCUACUUGGAAGGCCAUUCAUGAAGACGGCCCGGACAAAGAUUGACGUGUAUAGUGGAACUUUGUCUAUGGAAUUCGAUGGGGAAGUUGUUAAUUUUAAUCUUUCUGAUUCCAUUAAAUACCCUAGUGAGGACCAUUCAUGUUUCUCUAUUGAUAUAAUUGACUUUUUGGCGCAGGGAUAUCUCGACGAUUUGAAUGACGAUGCGCUUGAAAAAGUCAUUACACGAGGCAUGGAAAUUACAACCAAGGGGGCAGAUUCUAGUGUAACCCACGGCAUACAUGGACUAGGCCAUGUCGUGCACCCUAAUGAGGAAAUAAUUGAAGUUGUGGCUGCCCUUGAGUCCUCACCUAAGCUUGAUGGUAAGUAAUACUACCCGUGAGUCCAUUCCCAUUUCGACUAACAAAUUGCUUCCAUCCAUAAUUCAGGCACCUAUCCUUGAACUCAAGCCUUUGCCAAGCCAUUUGAAGUACAUUUUCUUGGGAGAAAAUGAAACACUACCUGCCAUUAUUUCCUCCUCCCUCACGGCACAAGAGGAGGAGAAAUUGCUUCGAGUUUUUGAAGGAGUUCAAAUCUGCCCUAGGUUGGACAUUGGCCGAUAUUAAAGGUAUAAGCCCUACAACUUGUAUGCAUCACAUAUUUCUUGAGGAGGGGGCCAAACCAACUAGAGAGGCUCAACGCCGUCUUAACGCUCCGAUGAUGGAAGUAGUGAAAAAGGAGAUCAUAAAGCUUCUAGAUUGUGGGGUUAUCUAUCCAAUCUCGGAUAGUAAGUGGGUUUCGCCCGUUCAAUGCGUGCCAAAGAAAUCCGGAGUGACGGUAGUAGCUAAUGCCGAGAAUGAGCUUGUCCCUCAACGUAUUCAAACACGUUGGAGGGUGUGCAUUGACUAUAGGAAGCUAAACACCACCACGAGGAAGGACCACUUCCCAUUGCCGUUCAUUGACCAAAUGCUUGAGAGGUUAGUGGGUUAUGCUUUUUAUUGUUUUCUUGAUGGUUAUUCUGGUUAUAAUCAAAUUGUCAUUUCACCAGAGGACCAAGAAAAAACCACUUUUACAUGCCCGUUUGGUACCUUUGCAUAUCGUCGCAUGCCUUUUGGUUUAUGCAAUGCACCUGCUACAUUUCAAAGAUGCAUGAUGAGCAUAUUUUCUGAUUACGUAGAAAAGAUAAUUGAAGUGUUUAUGGAUGAUUUUAGUGUAUUUGGUGAUUCGUUUGAUAGUUGCUUGCAUAAUCUAAGUUCGAUCCUAAAAUGUUGUGUUGAAACUAACCUUGUACUUAAUUGGGAAAAGUGUCAUUUUAUGGUUAAACAAGGUAUCGUUUUAGGUCAUAUAAUCUCUGAAAAGGGUAUUGAGGUUGAUAAGUCGAAAAUAGAUCUCGUACGUCACUUACCCUCUCCGACUUCGGUUAGAGAGGUUCGUUCGUUUCUUGGCCAUGCAGGAUUUUAUCGUAGGUUUAUCAAAGAUUUCUCGAAGAUAGCACAACCUCUUUGCCGACUCCUACAAAAAGAAGUGACGUUUGAAUUCACCAAGGAGUGCUCGGAAUCAUUCAAACAACUCAAGGAGUUGUUGACCACGGCACCCAUCAUUGUUCCACCGGAUUGGAGUCUACCUUUCGAGCUCAUGUGUGAUGCGUCCGACUAUGCUUUAGGAGCUGUUUUAGGACAAAGAAAGGACAAGAAGCCGCAUGUCAUUUACUACGCCUCACGGACGUUGAACGAUGCACAAUUGAACUACUCCACUACGGAAAAAGAACUCCUUGCCGUUGUCUUUGCUUUAGAUAAAUUUCGAUCAUAUCUAAUUGGAACUAAAGUAAUUGUUUUCACUGAUCAUGCAGCUCUGAAGUACUUGCUCACAAAAAAGGAGGCUAAGCCACGGCUAAUUCGAUGGAUAUUGCUACUUCAAGAGUUCGAUAUAGAGAUUCGGGACAAGAAGGGAAGUGAAAACGUGGUGGCUGACCACCUAAGCCGAAUGGUGCAUAAUGGAGGAGUCUUUUGCCGAUUUUUGGAGACAUUCCCCGAUGAACAAUUGCUGUCCAUUAAGGUUAGUGCACCUUGGUAUGCCGAUAUUGUUAAUUAUUGGUGUCAAAACGUAUUCCAAGUGAGUUCACUAGGCACCAACGUGAUAAACUUAGGCAUGAUGCACGGUUUUAUGUGUGGGAUGAUCCGUACGUAUGGAAAUUUUGCCCCGAUCAGAUUAUACGUCGUUGUGUGCACGAUUCUGAAUGUUAUUCAAUUUUGAGCUUUUGUCACACGUAUGCAUGUGGAGGGCACUUUGGCACACAACGCACAGCCCUUAAGGUGUUACAAUGUGGAUUUUAUUGGCCUAGUAUUUUCAAAGAUGCUAAAACUUUUUGCUUAACAUGUGAUAAAUGCCAACGAAUGGGUGGUAUUAGUGCUAGGGACCAAAUGCCGCAGGUUUCUGUCCUAAAUGUUGAAAUUUUUGAUGUUUGGGGUAUUGAUUUUAUGGGUCCUUUUCCUUCUUCGUAUGGUUUUACAUAUAUUUUGCUUGCGGUUGAUUAUGUGUCGAAGUGGGUGGAAGCAAAGGCCACCCGAACUAAUGAUUCUAAAGUGGUUGCAGAUUUUAUUAGAACUAACAUCUUUGCGAGGUUCGGAAUGCCACGAGUGAUCAUUAGUGACGGAGGGUCACACUUUUGCAAUCGGACCAUUGAAGCGUUAUUGAGGAAAUACAGUGUCACCCAUAAGGUUUCUACACCUUACCAUCCUCAAACGAAUGGCCAAGCCGAGGUUUCCAACCGUGAGAUCAAGCAAGUCUUAGAGAAGACCGUUGGGCCAACGAGGAAGGAUUGGAGCUGAUGGUUAAAUGAUGCACUUUGGGCGUAUCGUACGGCGUACAAAACCCCCAUUGGGAUGUCCUCCUUCCGACUUGUCUAUGGCAAGGCGUGCCAUCUUCCUGUUGAAUUGGGGCACAAAGCACUUUGGGCCAUCAAGAAGUUUAACAUGAACCUCGAGGAAGCAGGAAGUCAAAGGAGAUUGCAAUUGAAUGAGCUUGAUGAGAUACGGCACGAGGCGUACGAUAAUGCAAGCAUUUACAAGCAAAAGACCAAAGCUUUCCAUGACAACAUGAUCCGUGGGAGAAAUCAUUCUCAAUUGGGCAGAAAGUGCUAUUGUUCAAUUCCCGUUUACGUUUGUUUCCCGGUAAGUUUUACGUUCUAAGUGGAUUGGACCGUUUGUUAUUACUAACAUAUCUUCUUAUGGUGCCAUCCAGAUUCAAAGUCUCAAAACAGGUCAUGAAUUCCAAGUGAACGGACACCGUUUGAAGCCAUAUUAUGAGAAUUUUGUUGAACAAACCGUGGAGGAUAUUUCUUUGGGUGCCGUGGGCACAAAUGGAGAAUGAAUGGGCUUUUCGUCCGGCUGUACGACGUAAAAGAAAGCGCUACUUGGGAGUCAACCCAUGCAAUUCAACAAAGGAAGACCAAGGAAUCACUCCAAUUCCAGAUUUGCGUUCCUAAACUCUUCACUUUGUUGUUUAUUUCGAAUCUGCCUAUUUAGUUGUUUUAGUUGCUGUUUGUGUGUUUCUUUUUGUUUAGUGUGAUUUUAUGCUUGAAACAUUGAGGACAAUGUUGGAUUUAAGUGUGGGGGGGUAACUAAGUGUUUUAGAUGCAAAUUCGUGGGAUUUUAUCACCCUUAACUUGGAUACUUGUUCCUUGCUGUUUUUAAGUGUUUUUGAGCAGUUUUGAUGUGUUUUAGUGUGUUUUGAUGCAAAAAUCCGAAAAUCACAUAAAAAUUUGAAAAAUUUGUUUUAAAAAACCCAAAAAGAGUUAUUUUUGUGUGUUUGUUUGUGUCUUAGGGUACCUUCCAACACAAUGAUGAUGAUUUGGUUUUUAAUUGCAUGACUGUUAAAGAGAGUGAUUAACAUGGAUGAAAGUUUGAUGUACUCUUUGUUUAUGCUUAGUUGUGGUUAUAACUCGUGAAUUUGAUAGGAGCAUAUUUAUGCGCCUUAGUUAGCUAGUUCUUAUGCAUUUUCGUUAUGUUUUCGUCGUUAAAGUAGUCUGUUGAGCUACUUUCAUGUGUUUUCAGGCUUAAAGGGCAUAUGACAUAAAAGGAUGCAAAUUGGAGCCUUUUGGAGCAAAAUGGAGCUUAGAUUGGAAAGUACAUGCGUGGAGCACAAGGAAUGGACGAGUUUGAAGGGCAAAGGAGCUUAAGAAAUGAAGAAAUGAAUGUGAAGAACAAAGAAUUCAGAAUUAGAAACCAAAGUUUCUAAAGUUGGAAGUUUCUAUUCUUGGAGGUUUCCAUUUUCGAGAGUUUCUAUUCUUGGUUUUGGGCUUUCUAGAAGCCCUAUCUACAAACCCUAACCCUAGCCCACUAAUUUGCCGCACCUAGGCCUUUAAAAUUUCUGAUUUCCUUGCCUUGCAAGGCAUUCUAGAAGCCUAAACCCUAGCCCACUAAACCAGCCGAACCCUAGGCCUUUUCCCUUGCAAAUUCUGAUUGUUUUAACCUAUUUUCUGGUGGAUUUGGGUUUCUAGAAACCCUAAUCUGAUUGCUAGGGUUUUUAAGUGCCUAUAUAUACUCUCUUAAACCUCUUGGCCGAAUAUAUCACCUCCCAUAUUCAUUCUACACGCCAAAACCCUAGUUCUAGUUCUUGCCGCAGCCUUCCAUCCCCAAACUCCCAACUUUCUGCCCAAAUUCAACCUUGCCGCAACCUUCCAUUCAAAUAACCAUUCAUCCACCAUAGCCGCGCCUUCCCACCACCAUCACCACCUUGUGCAGCCACUAAAGGAGGAGAAAGAAGGAGUGCCGUGCAGUCCAAAGGAAGGAGAAGCCUUGCACAUGCAAUCUGCCAUUAGUGGAGUGUUUGGAGUUCUUUCUUUCUUUGUUUCUGUUUCAUGUUUAAUUUAACUUGCCUUUCAAUUAUGUUAGACAUGUGGAACUAAUUUCUUUUUAGUUAGAGGUGAAUUUGAAGCCAUGGACAUAUGUGUUAUAUGAUUUGAUUUCUUCCAAUUAUGAUUUCAGAAAUUGUGAAUGUGAUUUACUUAUCUAUUUGAUUGAUAACUUGUUUAUGUAUGUGGGUUGAGGGUCGACACUUAAUUUGCAUGCCUAAACUUGAUGCUAGGAUAUAAGGGAAUUUCACCUAAUCGUUAUUAACUUGUAUUCAUAAGUAGUGAAAGUCGCUAGUCACGAUUGUGUUAAGUAAAUCCUAGGCAAGAGUAACAUGCGUAUCCCAUAGUUAUGAAUGCCUCGUCAAUGCUUAUGAUUUCCAUUAAACUUAAUGAUCUUUGAUAUGUGUCUCUAUCAUGCGUAUUCCAUAGUUAGGGUCCUUGAUAAGAAUAAUUUCGUUGUAAUGCGUAUUCCAUUCAAUUCAAUGAAUCUAGGGAAAUCUGAGAAUUAAUUGGUGCAAUCUAGUUAAUUUGGGGCAUUGUCAUUCAUGGUUUGUUGAAGAGUAAUUGGAGAUCGAAUUGUAUAUACAUAUGUCAUGUGUGGAAAGGAACCUCUAACUAGCUUCUCACCAUUCUAUUUAAUCACAAUCUGUUUUGCUUUACCUUUGUUUUUAAAGUUUGAGUUUUAAAGUUUUAAUUUCGUCAAAAUCAUUCCCCCAUUUAUUUUAAAGUGUUAGAUUAGUUAGAAAUCCAUUUAGUUGUGUUUUUAAGUGUUUUGAGUCAAGUCAUAGUCCAAAUUCGUCCAAACUAGUGUUAGGUACUCAAACUGCCCAGAAAGUGGUUUUAAGGCAGUUUUGAGCCUUUUAGUUGCUGUUUUGAGUUUUUAGUUUGUUUAGGUGUUUUAAACCCUAGUUUUGCAUUAAUUGAGUCUAGUUUAGUGUUCUACAUUAUAUUUUUAUGUUCUUGAGUCAGUUUUACAUUGAUUAGCAUCCCUACUUAAUCCCCGGUUAGAACGAUCCCUAUUUGCUCAUAUACUACAAUUGUCAUCCAUAGGGUUUAAUUUGUGUGUCAAGUUAAUUUUCACAUCAGAAUUCACAUGCAAUCAUAAAAGGGAAAAUCAGUUUUUGUAACAUGCUUGAAGGAAGGAACUCAAACUAACGCUACAACCUUGUUAGACUUGAGCCUAAAUGUUUAUUUGGAGAGUUAAAAUCUGUGCAUUCUUUGUUUUCUAAGUCGUUGCAUGAUCUCAUUAUUCCUUGCUUGGUUGCUACUUAGAAGGCGUUUCAUCAUUUAGUUCCAAAUGCUAGAACUCAUGCCCAUUUCAUUCAAAGCAUGUCAUUGAAUUGCAUAACACAUAUUCAAGAUGAAGUUGUGUAGGGACCACCACCUUAGCCAAAAAGCCGUGUGCCCUACUCCAUUAUAUGUUUAAGUUUAACCCCGUUGAGCCUUGUUUAGCCUUUUCUUUGUUAACCCACAUUACCCUCACCUAGCCUAGAUUAGGACUAUCCAUACCCUUGUUCUUGAAGCAUAGUAAAGCAUGAUUCAAAUUGAAUUCCUUUUGAUUUAUGUUGGCAGAAAACAAGUGUGGGGGAAGUAUUUCUUUUGUGAUUUUGUGUGCCAUAGGCACGUGUGGCUAAAAGAAAAGAAAAGAAAAAAAAGUCGUGGAAAAAGAAAAAAAAUGAAGAAAAAAGUGUGAAAAGUAUGAAAAAAAAAAAGUUGAAAAGAUGUGAAAAAGAGUUUCAAAGUAUUGAUUGUUGAAGUAAGGGUCCAAAACAAUGAAUUCGGCCCUAAAGAGUUCUCUAAAUCUUUCCCUUGUGUUUUAAAGUUAAUUUCUGCAAUCUAAGUGAAUUCUAAGUCUCAAUUUCACUGCCUUGCUUACUAUUGCUUGAAGAACGUUUGUUUUCCCUAUCCUUUCCUUGUUAACCAACAACCCAAGCCCCAUUACAACCCUUAACUUCUAUCUUGAGUGUUAUGUGUUUCAAUUUGUGGAGUUUGAAUUUGGUAUGAGCAUAUGGUGUCACUGGUUCUCGCAUCUAAGUAGUAGCAUUCCAUUCAUGAGAUCGUAUUUAAACAUGCUUCUUAACUCUAGAAAUUGCGUUCUUUGUGAUACAUAUAUGUGAGCAUUCGUUUUCAUAUCUACAUCAAUCUUCUCACAUAUGACUAGUGUAGGUGUUAGUUAGAAAAUCUGAGUGAAAAUAGAGUGUAUAUCUUGUAAGGAAUUGAGGAAUUCUCUAAGGCAUGUUACUACAUUCAAAAGCAUUGUUUUUAAUUGAUUACUUGUGAACUAGUGAGUUGUGGCUUUAAAUUAAGUAUGUGCUUGUGUAAAGAUGACUCAAAUCUGUGGGAUAGCAAUCUUAACAUGUCAUGUGGCAUUGGAAAUCCCUGAGGCAAACGUUGGAAGGUUUAGGUUUUGUUUGGUUAGUUUGUUUCGUUUUGUUUUCUUUCUUUUGUUUGUUUUGCUCGAGGACUAGCAAAAGCUAGUGUGGGGGAAUUUGAUAGGAGCAUAUUUAUGCGCUUAGUUAGCUAGUUCUUAUGCAUCUUUGUUAUGUUUCUUCGUUAAAGUAGUCUUUAAGCUACUUUCAUGUGUUUUCAGGUUUAAAGGACAUAUUACAUGAAAUAUGCAAGUUGGAGCUUUUGGAGCAAAAUAUGAGCUUGGAUUGAAAAGGACAUGCUUGGAACACAAGGUUGGAAUGGAAUGAAGAGUUGAAGAUUUGAGGUUUCCUACUUGAAGUAGGAAGCUAAGCCUAAAAGUUUCCAUUUUGGGUUGAUCUUUCCUAAAUCGGAAUUGGCAAACCAAAGUUUCUAAGUUGGAAGUUUCUAUUCUUGGAGGUUUCCAUUUCGUGAGUUUUCUAUUCUCGCUUUGGGCUUUUGGAUGACCCAUCCUUACUCUUGGACCUAUGUCGCACCUAAACCCUAACCCUAGCCACUUAAUCAGCCGCACCUAGGCCUUGUUCACAUGCAAAAAUCUGAUUAUUUACCCUAAGCCCAUGCCGUACCUUUCCAUCCUAGAGCCCUAUUUACAAACCUUAACCCUAGCCCAUUGUUUCAAUCUGAUUUCAUUAGGGUUUUAGGUGCUAUAUAUAUGUGUUUUACUCUUUGGCCGAAAAUCUCCCAUUCUACAAAUCAGAAAUCGUCUAAACCCUAUUCCCACACCUUGCCGCAGCCUUCAUCCAUUCCAGCCAACAUACCCUAGCACCAUUGCCGCACCCAUACACCUUGCUACUCCAGCCACAUUCUCCACCAUACACCAUACCUCUUGCCCACCACCAUAACCAUCCUAUUCCCUUCCUAAACCAAAUCACAUCCAAAAGUCCCUUAACCAUCUCUGCCGCAGCAAGGAGAAAGAAGAGGAGCUUGAGUGCGAAAAUUCAAAGUGGAAUUCUGGGCGUUUUUAGGUGUAAUCUUUCUUAAUUCUCGAUGUUUAAUAAAUUUUGUGUUGUGAGUAAUGAGAAACAACCCCUUAGUUGGGGGGUAAAUUCGAACAUGUACAUGCUUGCAAUAUGAUUUGAUUACAUUCAGUUGUUAUUCAUAAGUUGUGGAUUUAAUUCGUUAUCUAUUUGAUUGAUAAUUUAUUUGUGUAUGUUGUUGAGAGUGCACGCUUAGUUUCAUGCAAUGAAUAUGAUGCUAAGAUUAAUGAGGGAGUUUACCUAAUAGUUACAAUCUUAUAAUCACAAGUAGUGAAGGUCGCUGAAAACGAUCGCGUUGAAUG